GGGGCUAUAGCUCAGAUGGGAGAGCGCCUGAUUUGCAUUCAGGAGGUCCGCGGUUCGAUCCCGCGUAGCUCCA
rfam:Congregibacter litoralis KT71 chromosome, whole genome shotgun sequence.